GAUGAACGCUAGCUACAGGCUUAACACAUGCAAGUCGAGGGGCAGCAUGGUCUUAGCUUGCUAAGGCCGAUGGCGACCGGCGCACGGGUGAGUAACACGUAUCCAACCUGCCGUCUACUCUUGGACAGCCUUCUGAAAGGAAGAUUAAUACAAGAUGGCAUCAUGAGUCCGCAUGUUCACAUGAUUAAAGGUAUUCCGGUAGACGAUGGGGAUGCGUUCCAUUAGAUAGUAGGCGGGGUAACGGCCCACCUAGUCUUCGAUGGAUAGGGGUUCUGAGAGGAAGGUCCCCCACAUUGGAACUGAGACACGGUCCAAACUCCUACGGGAGGCAGCAGUGAGGAAUAUUGGUCAAUGGGCGAGAGCCUGAACCAGCCAAGUAGCGUGAAGGAUGACUGCCCUAUGGGUUGUAAACUUCUUUUAUAAAGGAAUAAAGUCGGGUAUGGAUACCCGUUUGCAUGUACUUUAUGAAUAAGGAUCGGCUAACUCCGU
rnacentral:rRNA from 1 species